rnacentral:rRNA from 1 species
AGUGAACGCUGGCGGUAGGCCUAACACAUGCAAGUCGAACGGCAGCACAGUAAGAGCUUGCUCUUACGGGUGGCGAGUGGCGGACGGGUGAGGAAGACAUCGGAAUCUACUUUUUCGUGGGGGGUAACGUAGGGAAACUUACGCUAAUACCGCAUACGACCUACGGGUGUAAGCAGCAGAUCUUCGGACCUUGCGCGAUUGACUGAGCCGAUGUCGGAUUAGCUAGUUGGCGGGGUAAAGGCCCACCAAGGCGACGAUCCGUAGCUGGUCUGAGAGGAUGAUCAGCCACACUGGAACUGAGACACGGUCCAGACUCCUACGGGAGGCAGCAGUGGGGAAUAUUGGACAAUGGGCGCAAGCCUGAUCCAGCCAUACCGCGUGAGUGAAGAAGGCCUUCGGGUUGUAAAGCCCUUUUGUUGGGAAAGAAAAGCAGCAGUUUAAUACCACGCUGUUCUGACGGUACCCAAAGAAUAAGCACCGGCUAACUUCGUG